GUCCGUUACAACUGAUUCUCCGCAAUCUCUGCCGCAAUCUUGAGAUAGCUCCACAGGGCGCGGACUCGUCUCCCUGCUGAGUAUAAACAUCGGCUGCCUCGCUCCAAUCAUGUCCAAGCCAGUUGUGUGGGAAGUCGAGUGCCCAGUCGCCUAGCAUGCAGGAGAGCUGGGAAAGAUCAUUACCGUGGCGGCUGCAAAUGGUUCAAAACAUCAUUGGGUCGCACUAACCUCCUGUUUGCCACGAACCAAAUAGGCCCGGCAUGUGGUCUCACCCUGAUCAUGGGAAAGUCCACAGCAAGCAGGGGGAAUGGCUUGCCGGAGUUCAUUGUUGCCGCCAAGCCGCACGGCGACGAGAAGUCUGCUAAAUUGCAUCGACCGCUGAGAACGAUUUGGUCGAAGAGCCCGAGGAACUCGCAGGAGAAGCCCCUGAGCAGCAGUCGGUUGGUGGAG